rnacentral:lncRNA from 1 species
UUUACAAAAGGGCUACUUUUCCCCCUAUAGGUUGGUUUUGCUUAUAUUCUUUUUUUAGUUGUAGAUGAACACAAUACCUUUUGUUUAUUUAUUUUAUGUGGUGCUGAAGAUCGAACCUAGUGCCUCACACGUGCAAGGUAAGCACUCUACCACUGAGCCACAACCCCAGCCUGCUUAUAUUCUGAGAAUAUGUUUCAGAUUUUAUUGGCCUCUCCAUGAGUUUUGCUGGUAUACAGAGUCCUAUUGAUUAGCAACUGUCACACUGCCUGCCUUGUUCAGUAUACCAUUAUACAAUAGCAGGUGUCACCGUCUAUCCUAGCUGGCAACCCAAUGCUGGGUUCACAAAAUCUGACUAUUCCAAUAACUCAAAAAAAAAAUGACAAAGAAAGCAUGCAACCACAGAGAGUUACCUUUUCAAUAUUCCUGAGACAGCUCCGUGUCCUUAAGAGUCCGUGGAAAGAGAGAGAGCCACCAAAAUUCUUUAUUCUUAAAUAAGGAACACACAAAGGGAGGUUCCAUGGAGCAUUCUAUCUCCAAAAGGGCAAAAGGGUAGGAUUACAAAGGAACAGGUGAGUGUAACUCAACCACCACAGGUGAUGCCUGUAUCUGGAGCCACACCUUGCUAUCUGAGCUGGGAUAAUACCCAAGUCACUAUAAAAUGUAGUAAUUGGUCAGAGCCCCAGGGCAUCAGGACUUGAAGGCGUGUUCAUCCAAGGCAGCUCCUGACAAGCAGGGAUAACAAUUCCAUAGUUUAUCAUUUGAUUCUGCUCAAAAAUGUCUAGUGGAUAUUUACAGGGUAGUUGAUUUGGAUUACAUAGUUAGAUUUUUAUAAAAUAAAAAAUUUCUAGUCCUAAAAUUUAAAAAUUACAAAUUUUAAAAUAGUUGAAACCCUAUCUCAUAUUGUGCUAUAUACUUAAUUCUAAAUAUUUAAAUGUAAUCAUGAAAACAUUAAAAAUCUUAGAACAGGAGGCUGGGCUUGUAGCUCAGUGGUAGAGUGCUUUCCCUGAAUGUGGAAGGCACUGGGUUCGAGCCUCAGCACCACAUAAAAAUAAAAUAAAGGCAUUGUAUCCAUCUACAAAUGGAAAAAAAAAAAUCUUAGAACAGGGACUGGGGCUGUAAGUAGUAAGGUGCUUGCCUAGCACGUAUGAGGCACUAGGUUUGAUUCUCAGCACCACAUAAAUAAAUAAAUAAAUAAAUAAAUAAAUAAAUAAAUAAAUAAAUAAAAUAAAGGUAUUCUGUCCAUCUACAACUAAAAUAUAAAAAUAAUUAUCCCAACUUAUUAAAAAAUAACAUUAAAAAAUAAAGGUAUUGGGGCUGGGAUUGUGGCUCAUGUGGUAGAGUGCUUGCCUCUAGCAUGUGUGAGGUACUAGGUUCGAUCCUCAGCACCACAUAAAAAUAAAAUAAAGAUAUUGUAUCCACCUAAGACUGACUAAAUAAAUAAAUAUUUUUUUAGAAAGGUAUUGUGUCGGGCUGGGGAUGUGGCUCAAGCGGUAGCGUUCUCGCCUGGCAUGCGUGCGGCCCGGGUUCGAUCCUCAGCGCCACAUACAAACAAAGAUGUUGUGUCCGCCAAAUACUAAAAAAAAAAUAUUAAAAAAUCUCAACCACAUAAAAACUAUAGCUAGCUGAGAGUGGCAGGGCAUGCCUGUAAUCCCAAGGGCUCAGGAGGCUGAGGUAGGACUGAAAGUUCAGUGCCAGCCUCAGAAAUUUAAUGAGGCUAAGCCACUUAGUAGACCUUGUCUCUAAAUAAAAAAAAGAGCUGGGGAUGUGGCUCAGUGGUUAAGUGCCCAUAGGUUCAAUCACCAGUAACGCCACCUCCCCCCCAAAAAAAACAUACUAUAGCUAAAGAUAUUAUUAAUCAAAUCAGUGGACAAAAAAUAUAUUUAAAAAAAAGUGUCAGGAGUGGUGGCACAUAUGACUUGGUAGGCUUAGGCAGGAAGAUCUGAAGUUCCACACCAGCCUCAGCAAUUUAGUGAGGCCCCAAUCAACUUAGUAAGACCCUGUCUCAAAAAAAAAAAAAAAUGCGGGUGGGUAGGUAGGGCUGAAGAUGUAGUUCAGUGGUAAAAAUGUAGUUCUGGGUUCAAUCCCCAGUAUCCCCCUCAGAAUUCUUACAAACUAGAACUUUUUAAAAAUAUUUUUUAGUUUUAGGCAGAUACAAUAUCUUUAGUCUACAUUUAUGUGGUGCUGAGGAACGAACCCAGUGCCUCUGCAUGCUAGGUGAGCACUCUACCACUGAGCCACGACCCCAGCCCCAAACUAGAAUUUUUUUCAAAAUAAGCAUAAGGAAUAUGAACUUAUAAAAUAAUUAGACCUAUAUUAGUUGGUUAGGCAGGAUUUUUGCAGGAAAAUCACAAGUUUGAGGCCGACAGGAGCAAUUUAUCAAGACCCCCCUCUCAACAAUAAAAUUUAAAAAAGGGCUGGGGAUAUCAGUGGUAAAGUGCUCCUGGUUCAAUCCCCAGUACCCGCCCCCAAAUUCCAUUUUUUUUAGUUAAUUAUUUUUUAUUUGUUCUAAUUAGUUACCAAAUUCCAUUUUUGUACAAGACUUAAUGAUGUCUCCCCCUCCCAUGUAUGUAUGUGUGUGUGUUUUAUUUUUAUGUGGGACAGUUAGGAAGAGGUAAGAAAGAAAGGUAAGGGAAAGAACCUGGAAGGGAUUGAGGUAUAAUGCAAGUGGGAAAAAGAAGGGGAAAGAAAGAAAAGCAUUAGUUCUCAAUCUCAGACAAUGCAUCAGCUAAUUUUUGGAAAAAAUAAAAUCUGUAUGUAUGUGUAAACAAACUGUUAUAUAUGUAUGUGUGUAUGCAUAUACUUUAUAAUGGUGUACAUAUAGUUGGGUCCCUUAAGAGGACAGAAUGGAUGGGAGAGUCUGCCUUUACCAUAUCUUUGCAUUUUAUUGUUUCACUUGCUAGAACAAUAUAGCAUUUGUUGAAAACCAUCAAAUUUUAAAGUUAUGUAAAACAAUAUAAUCUAAUUUUGUUUAUAUCCUGGUCUUUCCAAAUUGCUUGGAAGCACCAUAUGCCUGUAGCUGUCCUCCUGACAUCUGACAUGCCAACUGCAACAAGGAGUAAAAAGUUUCCAGUUAACUCAUUUUUAUAAUACAAGCUUUUAUUCCUGGCAUUUGGAGUUCUCUGCCUUGGUUUUCCUGUCACUUCCCAACCUUGUUUUUUGUUUUUGCUUGAUCCCCUGCACCAGUACUGUGAAUUGAACCACCCAGGGCCUUUAAGAUAUUAGGUAAGAACUCUACCACUGAGCUACCUUCCCAGCCCUUUUUAAAAUUUUGAAAUUGGAUCUCAUUAAAUUGUCCAGGCUGGCCUUGAACUUGUGAUUCUCUUGCCUUCUAAAUAGCUGGGAUUAUACUUCUGUGCCACCCUAUCUAGCAAAAGAGAAAAGGGGACUGGCCAGUGUGGUGGCAUACACCUGUAAUCCCAGCAGCUGGGGAGGCUGAGACAGGAGGAUCAUGAGUUCAAAGACAGCCUCAGCAACUUAUCGAGGUACUAAGCAACUCAGUGAGACCCUGUCUCUAAAUAAAAUGCAAAAUGGGUGGCUGGGGAGAUAGCUCAGUUGGUAGAGUGCUUGCCUCUUGCAUAACGCCUUGAGUUCAAUCCCCAGCACCACCAAAAAAAACGGAAAAUGUUCUCUGAAC